rnacentral:rRNA from 1 species
CCUACGAGUGGCAGCAGUGGGGAAUAUUGCACAAUGGGGGAAACCCUGAUGCAGCGACGCCGCGUGAGUGAAGAAGUAAUUCGUUACGUAAAGCUCUAUCAGCAGGGAAGAAAAUGACGGUACCUGAGUAAGAAGCCCCGGCUAACUACGUGCCAGCAGCCGCGGUAAUACGUAGGGGGCAAGCGUUAUCCGGAUUUACUGGGUGUAAAGGGAGCGUAGACGGCAGCGCAAGUCUGGAGUGAAAUGCCGGGGCCCAACCCCGGAACUGCUUUGGAAAAUGUGCAGCUGGAGUGCAGGAGAGGUAAGCGGAAUUCCUAGUGUAGCGGUGAAAUGCGUAGAUAUUAGGAGGAACACCAGUGGCGAAGGCGGCUUACUGGACUGUAACUGACGUUGAGGCUCGAAAGCGUGGGGAGCAAACAGGAUUAGAUACCCCUGUAGUC